rnacentral:rRNA from 1 species
CUACGGGGUGCUGCAGUGGGGAAUAUUGGACAAUGGGGGAAACCCUGAUCCAGCAAUGCCGCGUGUGUGAAGAAGGCCUGCGGGUUGUAAAGCACUUUCGGUUGGGAGGACUGCUUCUAGCACUAAUAUUGUUGGAAGUUGACGUUACCUACAGAAGAAGCACCGGCUAGCUCCGUGCCAGCAGCCGCGGUAAUACGGAGGGUGCAAGCGUGAAUCGGAAUUACUGGGCGUAAAGCGCGCGUAGGCGGCUAGAUCAGUCGGGUGUGAAAGCCCCGGGCUUAACCUGGGAACUGCAUCCGAUACUGUCUAGCUUGAGUACAGGAGAGGAGAGUGGAAUUCCACAUGUAGCGGUGAAAUGCGUAGAUAUGUGGAGGAACACCAAUGGCGAAGGCAGCUCUCUGGCCUGAUACUGACGCUGAGGUGCGAAAGCGUGGGGAGCAAACAGGAUUAGAUACCCCCGUAGUC